UACGAUUCGGAAGAACUCUGGAAGAACUACAUGUACCAUAUUUGCCCUCGAAUAAAUUAACCGUUUGGACUCUACAGUCCUUUAUUGGAAGCAUAGUUAAAUGUCUUGAUUUGGCAUUAACUCUUACUGAAGGACCCUCUCGAAACUGCACAGCUGAACACACUAGAUUUUCCAAAACUCAAUGAUAUUCUUGAUACAGAAUGUCAGAAGGAGACAGCGUCGGUGAGUCGAUCCAUGGGAAACCUUCAGCGAUCGGGCGCUUUUUCACCAGGCUUGGACAGAAAUACCAGUCAUGGUUAGACAAGUCGACGCCGUUUUCUUCCAUGCGAUGGGCAGCCACGCUACUCUUAACUGCCAUCUACAUGAUCAGAGUGUAUAUACUGCAGGGAUGGUACAUCGUCACAUAUGCUCUGGGCAUCUACCACCUUAACCUCUUCAUCGCUUUCCUCUCGCCAAAAGUGGACCCAUCCUUGCUCGAUGAAGGUGAGUCUGAAGACGAGGGUCCUGCGCUGCCCACCAAGCAGAAUGAGGAGUUCCGGCCUUUUAUUAGGAGACUGCCUGAAUUCAAGUUCUGGCAUUCUGCAACGAAAGGCAUUGUCAUUGCAAUGAUUUGCACGUUCUUCGAAGCCUUCAACGUGCCAGUGUUCUGGCCCAUACUGGUCAUGUACUUCAUCAUGCUCUUCUGCAUCACCAUGAAGAGGCAGAUCAAGCACAUGAUCAAGUACAGAUACCUGCCCUUCACCCACGGAAAGAGACAAUACAGAGGCAAGGAAGACACAGGGAAAGCAUUUGCUAGUUAAAACCUCCCACAACCCUGCUCCCCCACCUGUAAUUAAUCUAAUUGAUGAGGAACGAGGACACAUGAACAUUGAGUGGUUUAAAUAUUACAAAUGGACGGAGUGGGUUGAAACCUGACAGUUGUGGUUCUGUUGCUUAUUUUUCUCUUCUGGGGGUUGGGCUGGAGUAUUGGGACUGGUUUUGUGACCUGGGGAUCGCAUUCUAACACCUAAUGUAGAUUUUCUAAGUACAUUUUGUGGAGGAGAGAAAAUAACCUAAAUCAACACUGUAGUUAAGGAUCAAAACAUUUUCCUCUGAUAGUGCAUCAUGUUUUUAAGGGUUGUUUUCAGGAUUUAUACAUAAAUAUAUUUUAAAGUUUUUUUUGUUGUUGUUCACACUGUUGGCACACUGUUGUUUUCCAAGUGUUAAAUCAACUGUGUCAUAUUAAACCAAUCAAAAUGAAAUAGAAAAAAAAGUGCUACAAGAUUUGCAGAUUGUUUCCGAAAAUUGCAUGUGGUUGGUUUUCUUGUGCCGUUGAACAGAGACAGGAAAAAAAGAGAUUUUAAUAACUCAAAAGUGUAAUUUUUAUCACUCCAAAUGCUAUUAAAACAAUGGUGUCUCCUCA